rnacentral:rRNA from 1 species
CCUACGGGAGGCAGCAGUGGGGGAUAUUGCACAAUGGGGGGAACCCUGAUGCAGCGACGCCGCGUGGGUGAAGAAGCGCCUCGGCGCGUAAAGCCCUGUCAGCAGGGAAGAAAAUGACGGUACCUGAAGAAGAAGCCCCGGCUCACGACGUGCCAGCAGCCGUGGGAAUACGCAGGGGGCAAGCGUUAUCCGGAUUUACCGGGUCUAAAGGGGGCGCAGACGGCGAUGCAAGCAAGGAGUGAAAGCCCUGGGCCCAACCCCGGGACGGCGCUUGAAACUGCGUGGCUGGAGGUCAGGAGGGGCAGGCGGAAUGCCUGGUGUAGCGGUGAAAUGCGUAGAUAUCAGGAGGAACCCCGGUGGCGAAGGCGGCCUGCUGGACUGCAACUGACGUUGAGGCCCGAAAGCGUGGGGAGCAAACAGGAUUAGAUACCCCAGUAGUC